rnacentral:rRNA from 1 species
AGUGAACGCUGGCGGUAGGCCUAACACAUGCAAGUCGAACGGCAGCACAGUAAGAGCUUGCUCUUACGGGUGGCGAGUGGCGGACGGGUGAGGAAUACAUCGGAAUCUACUUUUUCGUGGGGGAUAACGUAGGGAAACUUACGCUAAUACCGCAUACGACCUACGGGUGAAAGCAGGGGAUCUUCGGACCUUGCGCGAUUGAAUGAGCCGAUGUCGGAUUAGCUAGUUGGUGGGGUAAAGGCCCACCAAGGCGACGAUCCGUAGCUGGUCUGAGAGGAUGAUCAGCCACACUGGAACUGAGACACGGUCCAGACUCCUACGGGAGGCAGCAGUGGGGAAUAUUGGACAAUGGGCGCAAGCCUGAUCCAGCCAUACCGCGUGGGUGAAGAAGGCCUUCGGGUUGUAAAGCCCUUUUGUUGGGAAAGAAAAGCAGCAGGUUAAUACCCCGCUGUUCUGACGGUACCCAAAGAAUAAGCACCGGCUAACCUCGUG